UACGUAGGGCGCAAGCGUUGUCCGGAAUUAUUGGGCGUAAAGAGCUCGUAGGCGGUUUGUCGCGUCUGCUGUGAAAUCCCCAGGCUCAACUUGGGGCGUGCAGUGGGUACGGGCAGACUAGAGUGCGGUAGGGGAGACUGGAAUUCCUGGUGUAGCGGUGGAAUGCGCAGAUAUCAGGAGGAACACCGGUGGGCGAAGGCGGCGAGCUGGUCCGAUUACUGACGCUGGAGGCGACGACAGCCGUGGGGAGCGAACAGG
rnacentral:rRNA from 1 species